UACAGAGGGGGCAAGCGUUGUUCGGAAUUACUGGGCGUAAAGGGCGCGUAGGCGGCCGCCUAAGUCAGACGUGAAAUCCCUCGGCUCAACCGGGGAACUGCGUCUGAUACUGGGUGGCUUGAAUCCGGGAGAGGGAUGCGGAAUUCCAGGUGUAGCGGUGAAGUGCGUAGAUAUCUGGAGGAACACCGGUGGUGAAGGCGGCAUCCUGGACCGGCAUUGACGCUGAGGCGCGAAAGCCAGGGGAGCAAACGGG
rnacentral:rRNA from 1 species